GUUUGAUCAUGGCUCAGAUUGAACGCUGGCGGCAGGCCUAACACAUGCAAGUCGAGCGGCAUCGGGAAGGUAGCUUGCUAUCUUUGCCGGCGAGCGGCGGACGGGUGAGUAAAGUCUGGGGAUCUGCCUGAUGGAGGGGGAUAACUACUGGAAACGGUAGCUAAUACCGCAUGAUGUUACGCGACCAAAGCGGGGGACCUCCGGGCCUCGCGCCAUCAGAUGAACCCAGAUGGGAUUAGCUAGUAGGAGAGGUAAUGGCUCCCCUAGGCGACGAUCCCUAGCUGGUCUGAGAGGAUAACCAGCCACACUGGAACUGAGAGACGGUCCAGACUCCUACGGGAGGCAGCAGUGGGGAAUAUUGCACAAUGGGCGCAAGCCUGAUGCAGCCAUGCCGCGUGUGUGAAGAAGGCCUUCGG
rnacentral:rRNA from 1 species